CAGUCGCCGCGGUAAUACAGAGGAUGCAAGCGUUAUCCGGAAUUACUGGGCGUAAAGGGCGCGUAGGCGGCCAUUCAAGUUAGAUGUGAAAGCCCCGGGCUCAACCUGGGAAUGGCAUCCGAUACUGGCAGGCUAGAGUUCGAUAGAGGGUAGUGGAAUUCCAGGUGUAGCGGUGAAAUGCAUAGAGAUCUGGAGGAACAUCAGUGGCGAAGGCGGCUACCUGGAUCAGAACUGACACUGAGGCACGAAAGCGUGGGGAGCAAACAGGAUUAGAGACCCCCGUAGUCCCUGUCUCUUAUAC
rnacentral:rRNA from 1 species